UGCUGGACAGGACCACGUGAUCUUCAAACAUACCACAUGGGGAGUGGUGUUGCAUGAUUGGUUAUCCUUGUUUAUCCCGCGCAUCCGAGUGAUUACUAUUGUUUAGAGUGUCUGUAGUGAAUCUUGAGUGUUUGAUCGACUCGUGUGAUUAUUUCAAAAGACGUAAUGCGUGAGGAACCAGGAGAAAUGAGGUCUCGGCAGACUCAGGGAAGGUGAGACACGAACAGACAAGUUUCCAGCUCCGCCGCCACGCCCUGCAGGAAGAACUUUACACCACAAAGAGAUCGGCAGAACACCCGAAGAAAGCCAGGGAGGGGCGGGAGACUCGGCACAGGAGUUAAGGUUGCCAGUGUCCUCCGUCUCUCCACGUGGGUGAGUACAUCUGAGUGAGUGUGUGAGGACGGUGGUGAGACACAAAGUUGUUCUCCUUGACUUGAUGGAUGAGCGAAUAGAGAAGGGUGAGUUUUUUUUUUUUUUUCUAUCUUAUGUUGCGGUUCCAUUUUGUCGGAUUUACCCUUUUUUUCAUAUUUUUACUCGCAUCUAAUUUUCAAACUUGCUAGAAAUUGAAAAAAAAAAACUAUUCUUUAUAAUCCCUUCCU